rnacentral:lncRNA from 1 species
GAGCUGUCCACGCACGCUGCGUAGAUGGCUUGUGUACCGGCUGGUGACUGCUGCACAGAAACCAGCCCCAGGCUGUCGGGGAUGUGUGCCAGCGGGCACUGGCACCCGAGGUUUGCCGUGAGUGGAAGUGGGUGGGUCUCGGGCCAGCCAGGCGGUUCCACUUUGAGCUACAGCGGCUGGGGCUGCUCAAGUCCCACCCAAGACCGGGAGGUGGCCCGUGUGGCUGUGCUCCAAGUGUGGGUCACCCGCCCUGAACUGAGCUGGCUGGGGCACGCGCAGAGCGGCAGGAGGAGGUGCCGGCCACACAGACACAGGCCGUGCCCUUGCUGUGGCCAUGCUGCUAACGUCUCCGGGACCAAAGCAAGCCAGGCGGUCAGGGCUGAAGUCGAGAGGCAGGGCGGUGGAGUCUGCGUGAGAAGUGACGGCAGGGGUGGGAUGAGGAUGCCCAGGUCGGCUCAGUACUGUUACCAAUCACAUCCUCGCACCGUGCCCAGCACCCCAGGAUGCCCCCAGAGUGGCAGACCCCAGUGGGAUGAAACAGUGACAGCGGUGGGGAGGCUCAUGCCUAUACCCUCUGGGCUUCUCCCAGCCGCGCUGUCCCUACCCUCUGCCCUGACAGGUGCCUGGGUCAACAGCAACACAGCCGGGGUGUGGGGUUCAGGAAACCACUGCUCGGAGCCACAGGUUACGGCAUCGAAAGCCAAGAGGAGCGGACAGAGCAGAGCGGAGCCCCAGAGUCCAGGCCAGACUCUGGGUGCUGGGGCAGACGGCAGCGCGAGAAGUGCAGAGGCCCCGGGGCAAGCAGCGCAGCAGCACGGCCCUGGGUCAGGUCAGCAGGCCCUGGCUGCGCGGCUCCAGCCCCGGCGCCGUCUGCACAAGCUCCGCUCCAGCUCAGGCGUCCUCAUUCCCCAGCCUCUACCUGCUCUGGUCUCCUCAGUGUGCAAGUUCUGAAACCUCUCCAAGCCCCUCAGGUUUGGGCUAGCUCGCAAGCUAGGGGCUGACAGCGCAGUGAGAGGCAGUGCGAGGAGGAGCUCGGAGCUCACCCCACUCCCCUUGAAGGGGAAUGGAC